rnacentral:rRNA from 1 species
CCCGCUGAACUUAAGCAUAUCAAUAAGCGGAGGAAAAGAAACUAACAAGGAUUCCCCUAGUAACGGCGAGUGAAGCGGGAAGGGCUCAAAUUUGUAAUCUGGCGGUCUCCGGCCGUCCGAGUUGUAGUCUGGAGAAGCGUCUUCCGCGCCGGACCGUGUACAAGUCCCUUGGAACAGGGCGUCGUAGAGGGUGAGAAUCCCGUCUUUGACACGGACUACCGGUGCUUUGUGAUGCGCUCUCAAAGAGUCGAGUUGUUUGGGAAUGCAGCUCAAAAUGGGUGGUAAAUUCCAUCUAAAGCUAAAUAUUGGCGAAAGACCGAUAGCGAACAAGUACCGUGAGGGAAAGAUGAAAAGCACUUUGGAAAGAGAGUUAAACAGUACGUGAAAUUGUUGAAAGGGAAACGCUUGAAGUCAGUCGCGUCUUCCGGGACUCAGCCUCGCUUUUGCUUGGUGCAUUUCCCGAAUGACGGGCCAGCAUCGAUUUUGACCGUUGGAGAAAGGCUUUGGGAAUGUGGCACCUUCGGGUGUGUUAAUAGCCCUCGGUCGUAUGCAACGGUUGGGAUCGAGGAUCGCAGCACGCCUUUUUGGCCGGGGUUCGCCCACGUAACGUGCUUAGGAUGCUGGCGUAAUGGCUUUAAACGACCCGUCUUGAAACACGG